rnacentral:lncRNA from 1 species
ACUUUAAGGAGUUGUUGAACCUCACCCAGUGUUUGCGCUGCUGGCACUGGCUGCCUCCGCUUCCCAGACUCGUGGCAGGGGUACUACAAGAAGUUCUCCAUCCCUGACCUAGACAGACACCAGCUUCCUCUAGAGGAUUCUGCGUUGAGCUUUGCGCACGCCAACUGCACCCUGAUAAUCUCUUAUCAGAAGCCAAAGGAGGUCAUGGCGGCUGAGUCAGAGUUACAGAAGGAGUUAAAGAAGGUAAAGACGGCCCACGGCAGUGCUGGGGACUGUAAGACGCAGUAGCUGUCCUGAGCCUUGCACCUCCAGUGAGGAGGAAACUGUGAGACUUCCGGCGUGGGUUUUAUGGCGCGGGCAGCCUCUUCUCUUCUAAGAACUACAGAGCCCCUAGAACUGGCUCGUGGGGAACAGCUUGCUUCCACCUGUGGCUCUGUUCCUGAGUAAAGUCAUUUGCAGUUGCUCUAGAAGGACUGACUGCCCCUUUCUCUACUUCUGUGUAUUGCCCGCUCCUGGAUACCCUGCCUUCUUAGGGAAGAUGGUGGUGUGACAACCCACCCCACCUUCCCAUCCUGGGGACCUUCCAGCUAACGGGGGAGCAGAGUGGGAACAGGCUGGGCAUCUUGGAACUCCUGUGUGCUGGCUUGCCUUAUACAAGAGACUCAGGAAAAACUCCUCUGAGGCAGGGGUGGGCAAAAGGGAAGUUUAAACAUCCAGCUAUCUUGGAAACAGCACAGAACGUUAAGACACUAUGGUU